UACGGAGGGGGCUAGCGUUGUUCGGAAUUACUGGGCGUAAAGCGCACGUAGGCGGCUUUUUAAGUCAGAGGUGAAAGCCCGGGGCUCAACCCCGGAAUUGCCUUUGAGACUGGGAGGCUUGAUCGUCGGAGAGGUGAGUGGAAUUCCGAGUGUAGAGGUGAAAUUCGUAGAUAUUCGGAAGAACACCAGUGGCGAAGGCGGCUCACUGGACGACUGAUGACGCUGAGGUGCGAAAGCGUGGGGAGCAAACAGG
rnacentral:rRNA from 1 species